GACGUAGGGGGCAAGCGUUGUCCGGAAUCAUUGGGCGUAAAGGGUGCGUAGGUGGCUAGGUAAGUCGGAUGUGAAAUCCCGGGGCUCAACCCCGGAACUGCAUUCGAUACUGCCUGGCUAGAGUACUGGAGAGGAGAUUGGAAUUUACGGUGUAGCAGUGAAAUGCGUAGAUAUCGUAAGGAAGACCAGUGGCGAAGGCGGAUCUCUGGACAGUUACUGACACUGAGGCACGAAGGCCAGGGGAGCAAACGGG
rnacentral:rRNA from 1 species